rnacentral:rRNA from 1 species
AUUGAACGCUGGCGGCAUGCUUUACACGUGCAAGUCGAACGGUAACAGGCCUUCGGGUGCUGACGAGUGGCGAACGGGUGAGUAAUGCAUCGGAACGUACCCAGAGGUGGGGGAUAACGCAGCGAAAGCUGUGCUAAUACCGCAUGUGAUCUGAGGAUGAAAGCGGGGGACCGAGCAGCAAUGUUUGGCCUCGCGCCUUUGGAGCGGCCGAUGUCGGAUUAGCUAGUUGGUGUGGUAAAGGCCUACCAAGGCGACGAUCCGUAGCUGGUCUGAGAGGACGACCAGCCACACUGGGACUGAGACACGGCCCAGACUCCUACGGGAGGCAGCAGUGGGGAAUUUUGGACAAUGGGCGCAAGCCUGAUCCAGCAAUGCCGCGUGCGGGAAGAAGGCCUUCGGGUUGUAAACCGCUUUUGGCAGGAACGAAACGGUGUCCGCUAAUACCGGGCGCUAAUGACGGUACCUGCAGAAUAAGCACCGGCUAACUACGUG